ensembl:misc_RNA Metazoa_SRP Metazoan signal recognition particle RNA
GCUGGGCGUGGUGGCGCGCGCCUGUAAUCCCAGCUACCGGGGAGGCUGAGGCGGGAGAAUCUCUUGAACCCGGGAGGCGGAGGUUGCAGUGAGCGGAGAUCGCGCCACUGCACUCCAGCCUGGGCGACAGAGCGAGACUCCGUCUCAA